CAAAAGUUACUUAAUAGGAUUAUGAAAAUUGUCGAUAGAGGAUUAAAAAGGCAGGAUGAAUUGCUUUUACAAAAAAUGGAGAAAUAUUGGAAGUCAUUUCAAGAGAGAAUGGACAAAUUGGUUGAAGCAAUUCAAGUGGCAAAGGAGAAUGUUGCAGUCUUCGAUAAUGAGGAUCUACUUCUUGAAAAGUCAAGUGAAGAACAAGAUGCCCUUACUGAAACUUCGAAUAAGGAAGACAAGUGCAUUGAUGUGGGGCAGGAGCAGGAGCAGGAUUUUGUUUUUGAUUUGUCUAGUGCAAGAGAGGAAUAUGAGGAGGAGAAGGAUAAAGAUGGUGAUGAUUGUAAACUAGAGUUGACAAUGGGGAAUGCAGAAGCUAAGCCUGAAAUUCUUGCUGCACAAACUUUUGGGGAUUUUCCUGAAAACAAGAAAGAUAAAGGAGCUACAAACAAUGUGGUUACUGAAAGCAAGUGGCAGAAUUUUAGGAGCCAAGAUGGUGAGUUCAGCUGUUGUAAUCCUAUAAGUCUCAUAGAAGACGAAUGGGAAAUAUCAAGAAGGGAA
rnacentral:misc_RNA from 1 species